rnacentral:misc_RNA from 1 species
GAUGAAGAACGUAGUGAAAUGCGAUAAGUAAUGUGAAUUGCAGAAUUCAGUGAAUCAUCGAAUCUUUGAACGCACAUUGCGCCCCCUGGUAUUCCGGGGGCAUGCCUGUCCGAGCGUCAUUACAACCCUCAAGCUCAGCUUGGUGUUGGGCCCCGCCGCCCCGGCGGGCCCUAAAGUCAGUGGCGGUGCCGUCCGGCUCCGAGCGUAGUAAUUCUUCUCGCUCUGGAGGUCCGGUCGUGUGCUCGCCAGCAACCCCCAAUUUUUUUCAGGUUGACCUCGGAUCAGGUAGGGAUACCCGCUGAACUUAAGCAUAUCAAUAAGCGGAGGA